GGCCGCGUGGCCUAAUGGCUAAGGCGUUAGAUUUCGGCUCUGUUUCCUUUCUCUAAAGAUUCCAGGUUCGACUCCUGGCGUGGUCG
rnacentral:tRNA from 1 species